AACGAACGCUGGCGGCAGGCCUAACACAUGCAAGUCGAGCGCCCCGCAAGGGGAGCGGCGGACGGGUGAGUAACGCGUGGGAACGUGCCCCUUUCUACGGAAUAGCCUCGGGAAACUGGGAGUAAUACCGUCUAAGCCCUACGGGGGAAAGAUUGAUCGGGAAGGGAUCGGCCCGCGUUGGAUUAGGUAGUUGGUGGGGUAAUGGCCUACCAAGCCGACGAUCCAUAGCUGGUUUGAGAGGAUGAUCAGCCACACUGGGACUGAGACACGGCCCAGACUCCUACGGGAGGCAGCAGUGGGGAAUCUUAGACAAUGGGCGCAAGCCUGAUCUAGCCAUGCCGCGUGAGCGAUGAAGGCCUUAGGGUGUAAAGCUCUUUCAGUGGGGAAGAUAAUGACUGUACCCACAGAAGAAGCCCCGGCUAACUCCGUGCCAGCAGCCGCGGUAACAC
rnacentral:rRNA from 1 species